CUACCUGUUUAUUUAGUUAGAUAGACAGCAAGGCAUCAGCUCCAGGUCUACCUGUUUAUUUAGUUAGAUAGACAGCAAGGCAUCAGCUCCAGGUCUACCUGUUUAUUUAGUUAGAUAGACAGCAUGGCAUCAGCUCCAGGUCUACCUGUUUAUUUAGUUAGAUAGACAGCAUGGCAUCAGCUCCAGGUCUACCUGUUUAUUUAGUUAGAUAGACAGCAUGGCAUCAGCUCCAGGUCUACCUGUUUAUUUAGUUAGAUAGACAGCAUGGCAUCAGCUCCAGGUCUACCUGUUUAUUUAGUUAGAUAGACAGCAUGGCAUCAGCUCCAGGUCUACCUGUUUAUUUAG